GGAUCCGUGGGUUAGCCUGGAUAGACCAUCUGCCUCCUAAGCAGAACGCCGAGAGUUCAAAUCUCUCCGGAUCCG
rnacentral:tRNA from 1 species